AAAGCUCACCAUACUGCUCAGCAGAAUAUCUUGGAUGAAAUUGAGCAAGCUGUGCAGGAGACUGCUGACACGGAAGUGUAUGUGAGGAGACGACCACAGCCGCCUGUUCCCAAGCGACUUCACGAGGAGACUCAGUGAUUUGGAACCACUGGCAAAUUCUAGACUUAGAGUGCCUGCUGCAGACUGAACGCCUAGGUCCCCCACCCCCAACAGUGCCUCCUGCAUCGUGGGGUGCUUCC